AUUGAACGCUGGCGGCAGGCCUAACACAUGCAAGUCGAACGAGUGGCGGACGGGUGAGUAAUGUCUGGGAAACGGCCUGAUGGAGGGGGAUAACUAUUGGAAACGGUAGCUAAUCCCGCAAACCAUCAGAGGGGCCCAGAGGGGAUUAGCUGGUUGGUGGGGUACCGGCUCACCAAGGCGACGAUCCCUAGCUGGUCUGAGAGGAUGACCAGCAACACUUGAACUGAGACACGGUCCAGACUCCUACGGUAGGCAGCAGUGGGGAAUAUUGCACAAUGGGCGCAAGCCUGAUGCAGCCAUGCCGCGUGUAUGAAGAAGGCCUUCGGGUUGUAAAGUACUUUCAGCGGGGAGGCGUUACCCGCAGAAGAAGCACCGGCUAACUCCGUGCCAGCAGCCGCGGUAAUUC
rnacentral:rRNA from 1 species